rnacentral:rRNA from 1 species
CCCUUAGAUGUUCUGGGCCGCACGCGCGCUGCACUGAUGCAUUCAACGAGUUUCUUCCUGGUCCGAGAGGAAUGGGUAACCUUUUGAAAGUGCAUCGUGAUAGGGAUAGACUAUUGCAAUUAUUGGUCUUCAACGAGGAAUUCCUAGUAGACGUAGUUCAUCAGACUGCAUCGAUUACGUCCCUGCCCUUUGUACACACCGCCCGUCGCUCCUACCGAUUGAAUGCUCAGGUGAGCCAUUCGGACUUUCAUCAUGCUGGUUUCCAGUUUUGAUGAAGGAAAGUCUUGCGAACCUUAUCAUUUAGAGGAAGGAGAAGUCGUAACA